CCUACGGGCGGCAGCAGUGAGGAAUAUUGGUCAAUGGGCGCGAGCCUGAACCAGCCAAGUAGCGUGAAGGAUGACGGCCCUACGGGUUGUAAACUUCUUUUAUAAAGGAAUAAAGUGAGGCACGUGUGCCUUUUUGUAUGUACUUUAUGAAUAAGGAUCGGCUAACUCCGUGCAAGCAGCCGCGGUAAUACGGAGGAUCCGAGCUUUAUCCGGAUUUAUUGGGUUUAAAGGGAGCGUAGAUGGGUUGUUAAGUCAGUUGUGAAAGUUUGCUGCUCACCCGUAAAAUUGCAAUUGAUACUGGCAGCCUUGAGUACAGUUGAGGUAGGCGGAAUUCGUGGUGUAGCGGUGAAAUGCUUAGAUAUCACGAAGAACUCCGAUUGCGAAGGCAGCUUACUAAACUGCCACUGACAUUGAUGCUCGAAAGUGUGGGUAUCAAACAGGAUUAGAUACCCUUGUAGUC
rnacentral:rRNA from 1 species